CGCCUCCUCCCUCGCUCGCUCCUGCAGCCGCCUCCCUCCCUCCCUCCCACACAGCUGCCUCCCUCACUCGCUCGCUCCUCAUCCGGCGACGGCGGCGGCGGCUCCUGCGCCCGCGUUCUUCCUUCCCCAACACGCCACCGCGUGGCCCCGCACGCCUAGGCGGCUCCUUCCUCUCCUCCCCGCCCGCGUUGUUGCCCCCGCUCGUCCCCGCCCCCUCGCGCCCUCCCCUUCUCCCCGCCCUCUCGCUGCUCAGCAGGAGGAGCGCGGCUCACCGUCGUGGACUACGGCGCUCCUCCCGCCUCUCCCCAUCGCGCCGCCCCCCGCCUCUCCAUGGAGCCUGCUUCCUCACCCAUAUCCCCGGCGGCCAGAUCCACGACGCCGUCCUCCUCCACGACCACGCAGCCGCAACGGUGGAGGAGGAGCCAUGGAUCCCGAACCCUAGCCCGUGGGCAUCAGGCAGGAGGAGGCGACCACGCAGCCAUGGAUCUGUGGGGCGAAGCCAUGGAAGGGCCACCACCAACAGCACCUAUGGUCAUGGAGCGCCGUCGCCGCCUGGACCAAGCUCCCUGCUCCACUGACCAAGAACGCUCGAUUCCGGCCGCCUGCAGCACAUCAGGCCAUCAGCUAACAGAACUCUUUUCAUAGCUUGCUGAUCAAUUGGUGGAGGACAAUAUGUGCACUACUUUUCUUGAUCAAGUCACUUUUCUAUCAUGUUUGAGCUCACCAAUGGUGAUGUAGUCAACAUAUAUCUCUUCUUCAGCUAACCUGUUCAUGCCAAGGGCUUAAGUAUGGCAACAAAAAGGAAAAGGAUGGUGUGCAACAAAAGGAAAAUGAUGGUGUGCAACAAAAGAAAAAAAAAGAUGACGUGGAGCCUCAAGUACAAGUGAAGAAGUUAUAUUUGUGGAUAUGUCAGAAAGGCAUUAGGCUACUGCCUGUGACUGUUUUACCUUGAUUUGCCAGGCAUCCCAGGAGAUGGGAGUUGCUUAUUUUGCUCUGUGGUACAUAGAGCAUGCGUCCUCUCAGGGAAACCUAUACCUAAUGAAAAUCUUAAAUGAAAGCUAGCUGAUGAAUUCAGGAAGCAGCUAUACAAAUCCAUCAUUGUUUAGGCCGCUGAUGAAUCUGUCACUAGACGGGAAGAGACUUAAUGGUUUGUUGAAGGCGAUUUCAUACAUACAUUCCAGAUUAGGCGACCACAUGUGUGUGGUUGUGAGCCCGAACUGUUCAUGGCUUCACAUGUUCUCCAUGUUCUCAUUUGGGUUCAGUAUCUACAUAUAUGAACAUAGUGACUAUUAUCCCAAGCGCGCGUAGGGAGCUCUUGCUUGCUACACCAGCGACAGGCGCAUGAGCUUUCCGAUCCACGGCAACACCAGUCAACAGGGUACGACGAGGAUUCAUUGUAAGGAAAGUUAGUCUGGCCUCAGAUUUUACAUGGUCUGAUGCUCAAACAUCAAUGGAAUUGUUCAAGUCGUGCUCAGCGACGAUCAUUGCAGGCUCCAUUUGUUAUUAAAAUCUGCUAAUUGUUGUGUUCUCUUUACUUUGUAUUUUAUAAACUGCUACACAUAUCUGGCCUUUUGCUCAGUCAAUUGUGAGUUAGGAAGUGCGGCUUGCCGCACCCGGCUGGAAUCUUAAUUGUAUGAGGGUGAACAACAAAUGACUGGAUACAUGGUUUAUGCAUAUUUGUGUGAACUUUUAAACCAACAAACAUGUUAAUUAUUUUCUUUACUUACUCUAGCAAACAGUAGUCUUGAUUUAUGUAUUGGAAUAUUAGUUGUGUGCAAUGUUCUUACUGUUACAUGACAACUAUUGCUUCUGAACCCCCUCCUUUUAUUCGCUCUACUUUGUAAUGUAAUAGAGCUGCUAUCGCAUGUUGAUACUUGACAUUACUGCUAUGCUUUAGGCAUGUUUUUUUUAUCAAUUAGCUUCUGCUUUUUUGAUAAACAUGAAUUUGUUCUCUUCCUUUUCUAUCAAAUUGGCACAUAUAUGGUAUUGUUUGUCAGUUCUUUUAAGCAUAGUGGUACACAAGAGUUUUGAUUUUUUUUGUUCUGCUUUGGAUGAAUUGUUGUUCUAGCGGCGGAUGAUUUUUUCCUUCUCUUCACAAAUCAAGGAUCGGCUUAUUGUCCUGGUUAUAUGCACCGAGUGGAACAGAGCUUGCAUCUGUUCUUUUUUAUUGCUUUGAAAUGUUUCCAAAAACAUUAUACCAUGAUUUGCUCUAAUUCUAUCAACUCAAUGGUGGAAACCAAAUAUUUUUUUUAGAUCCUGUCAUGUCUUCCCGAUCAUUAGUUCAUGUAUGGUUUUAGAUGUUCUGUGUGAUUAUUCCUUGUCGUAUGAGUAGAUGGUUGUGGAUUCAAUCUGUUUGGCCGUUGCUCUGUCAAGAAACAUGUGGCCCGCGUAUGCAUAUGAUAUUUUAGCGGCCCUUCUGUUUGCUGGUUAUGAUGUGUCAUGAUGGUGAAAUAAAUUGUGGAUUUCGAUUCAAGCCUUGAGUCAUGAAAAUCCAAUAAGAGGUAGUCCGUGUAUGAUCAUUAGGCUAUGAUUUUUUAUGUUCCAAUGUAUGGUUCUUGGUAUGGUUUUGGCAUCUAAGGGGCUGUUUGGUUUGUGACUAACUUUGCCAAAUGUUGCCACACCUAAAGCUAGGCAAGUUUGACUAACUUAGGUGAGUGUUUGGGUCAAGCCACACCUUCGGCAAGCCACACUUGGACCCCACAUGGCAUACACAUACAAAAUGUGGCAAGAUUCCCUUAGGCUUGCCAACUUGUGGCUUUCAUUUUGGUGAACUAACCUUAGGCAAGCUUGGCAAAAAUAUGUGGCAAAGUUUGGCAAUGCUAGGCUUAGAACCAAACAGCCCCUAAGUUAUUGUUGGUCAUGUGUGGUGUUGUUGCUUAUUUAGGUUUGUUCUUUUGAGAUGCACAGGGGCGUUGUUAGGAUUUGUCCGUGCUUUCUAGAACCGUUGCUGGGGAAAAUUCUUGUCACUAUUGUUUGGUGCCGUUGUUAAGGCUUGCUGCUUCUUUGGACUGCCUUUGUUGCAGCCUUACUAAAAUUGGAGAUGUAAUGUUUUGGCUACUAAUUAGUAAGAAUGGCAAGAUAAGAUUUAGCCUAUGAAUGCACGACCCAUUUGCUGCUCCCUCCCCUAUGGGCGAUUCAACCUCAUGCCCCGCCUCCGCUCAACCCAAGCCCCGUUCAUCCAGGCCGUACGGUGUUGUUUGAUCGCUCAGCUAAAGGGUCUCCAACCAGGAUGCAUCAAGGCAUAUGCUAGCACCAUGGGGAAACAAAUCGUGAACAUGCUUGGUGAACUCGCCACAAAGGAGGUCGCCCGGCUGUGGAGGUUUAAAGACUAUGUUGAUGCCAUGAUGGACAAGAUGCAAGAUCUGGAAGCCGUUUACACGAUGCGGAUGAUAGGCCGCGCCAAGGAGGGAGAGACGGGGAAGUUGUUGGGAGGUGGCUCGCCAAAUUCAAGUCUGUCACCGAAGACGGAGGACGUGCUGAACGACCUGGACGCUGCAGAUCAACAUGGACAUGGACUUUUCACUUUCUAGAGUAACACACUGACAUGGCAUAGUAGUAGGCGACGGUUCUUUCAUUAUAACGGCUUAUAAUUAUCAUCAGACUCAUACUAUUAUGCAAAUGCUUCCUAUGAUUUCAUUGGUUAAAUUGUAUAAUUGUGACAGGUUCAUAUAUCAAUGUCAAGAAAGAGCUGAGCAACGGGACGACCUGACAAAGCUAUCAAAUAUUAGGUUACAUGGCAGCUACUUAGGCUCUUUAUAUUGCACAGGCCUUAUGGAUCCCUUUGUCUAUAAUUACUGAACUACCAUAUUUAAUUUGUGAUGACUCAUCGUGUUGGUUUACUUUUGGAAUCAAAA